GUCAUCGCUUAUCCUUGAUCAAAUAGAAACAGGCGUGUGUUUUCAUGUCCUCCUUACACUGGGAGAGUAUUUCUAUGAAUCGGGAUUUACCUAGCCUAGAAAAAACAACAAAGACAAUAGAAAGAAUAAAGUAUUCUAUUCAAUACUUGCCUAUCCGAGUAUUGAGAGAGUUCGGCACAAAUUUAAAAACAGAUUUGCUUCAAGAGAUUCAAAAACAGAUUUGCUUCAAACUAUUUGCUCACGCUUCAAAAGAUUCAAUAUGCCUCCUUUUACCUCCUUUAGCACUAUUUUGAGUCAAAAGAAAUUUGAGAGUUCAUAAUUUUGUUGAGAAAAAAAUCUACUUCUAAGUCGAAAGGUGGAAUGAAGAAGAUAAAGACUCACAAUGCUAAGAACGUUGUAGCUUUAACUAGCGAUGUGAAAAAGCUUAACAGCAAGUGUUUUCAUUGCAAGAUGUUAGUCCAUUGGAAGACACAUUAUCGAGUUUUCCUAGCCAAGCAGAAAAACAAGCUAGAUUGACUUACACUUGUCAUUGAAACAUGUUUAGCGAUUGUUCUACCACAUCAUGGUAUGUAGUUUUGGGACACUGGUCACAUUUGCACUACUUUACAGUGGUUUCAAGAAAUGUGCAAGUUGAAUAAAGGUGAAGUUAAUGUUCUUCAAGCUAACGGUUCAACAGAUCCAACUUAUCAUUAGGAAAUAUUAGUAUUUCAUUCAGUAAUGCUAUAUUUUUAAUUUUAAAAUAUGCAUUAUAUGCACCUGCUAUUAAAAGAGAUUUGAUUUCAGUUUCUAAAGCUUUAAGAUA